rnacentral:rRNA from 1 species
AUUGAACGCUGGCGGCAGGCCUAACACAUGCAAGUCGAGCGGAUCGGCGGAGGGGUGAGGAAUGCCUAUGAAUCUGACUGUGAGUGGGGGAUAAUGUCCCGUAAUGGGCACUAAUACCACAUACUCUCACAUGUGCAUAGGUUGGAUUAGCUAGCUGGUGGGGUAAAGGCCUACCAAGGCGACGAUCCGCAACUGGUCUGAGAGGAUGAUCAGUCACACGGGAACUGAGACACGGGCCAGACUCCUACGGGAGGCAGCAGUGGGGAAUAUUGGACAAUGGGCGAAAGCCUGACCGAGCCAUGCCGCGUGUGUGAAGAAGGUUUUCGGAUUGUAAAGCACUUUAAGUUGGGAGGCGUUACCAACAGAAUAAGCACCGGCUAACUUCGUGCCAGCAGCCGCGGUAAUAC